UCCCUAGAUGUUCGAUUUAGCUAACACAAACACUCAUCUACCAGACAUCACAGGAGAAAUCAUUGGUGUGCAAAGUACUGUUAGUGAUCCUCCGGAAGAAAAGAAUGGUGACUAUAAAACUGGAUAGUGAUGAAACUGUCACCUUAAGCUUAUUUGACUCCCAAGUUGUGUCUUUUCACAAAGAGCUUGAAGCCAUGUGUGUUGAUCCGAAGGUCAUUGUUGCGACUAGCAUAAACCCAAAGUUGGUUAGAGGCCGUUUGUUCCUCAAUGCAACGUCGCAUGUGUAUUUUGAUAAGAAGACGUAUGCAGGGGAAGUCCGAUUCUACCAGUUGGUCGCCAGGGGCACUGGUCUACCAUCAGCCGCCCACUGCUAAGAUCAUAUGCGAAGGUUGAGACAAUGACAUUGGCUGAGCUCAACGCUGCUGUCGUCAAUGCUGCAUCGCAGGAAAUUGACUUCCUACGCAUUGGGAGGGUUGUUCGCCUUGACACAGAUAAGGGUUGGUGUUAUGCUGCAUGCUCUAAAUGCAGUAAAAAGUUGCAGCGCACUGCCUCUGCUUUUGCGUGUGGGCGAUGCAAUAAUUUGCAUGGUGCUGGAGCCCUUCGUCGAGUAGCGUCUCUACUAAAUAACUAUAUGCUCAAAACAGUGGGACAAGAUGAACUCCAGGCUUCUUCUCGGUUGCUAUAUUUCUUUGUGGAUCACCUUAAUAAUAUAUUUGUAGUGUUGGACACAAAUAAUUUGAUUCUCUGUUGAAAAGGUUACAUUGUUGAUCUAACUUGAUAUUGAAAAAAGUUCUCUAUUAUUUGUUCAAAACAACCUCAUAUACAGCUUCACUAAAUUAAGACUGAUUGAUUGA